rnacentral:rRNA from 1 species
UACAGAGGUCCCAAGCGUUGUUCGGAUUUACUGGGCGUAAAGGGUGCGUAGGUGGUCAGGUAAGUCUGAUGUGAAAGCUCUGGGCUCCAACCCAGAAAUGGCAUUGGAUACUAUCUGGCUAGAGGAAUGGAGGGGGGACUGGAAUACUUGGUGUAGCAGUGAAAUGCGUAGAUAUCAAGUGGAACACCAGUGGCGAAGGCGAGUCCCUGGACAUUUCCUGACACUGAGGCACGAAAGCUAGGGGAGCAAACAGG